AGUGAACGCUGGCGGUAGGCCUAACACAUGCAAGUCGAACGGCAGCACAGUAAGAGCUUGCUCUUACGGGUGGCGAGUGGCGGACGGGUGAGGAAUACAUCGGAAUCUACUUUUUCGUGGGGGAUAACGUAAGGAAACUUACGCUAAUACCGCAUACGACCUACGGGUGAAAGCAGGGGAUCUUCGGACCUUGCGCGAUUGAAUGAGCCGAUGUCGGAUUAGCUAGUUGGCGGGGUAAAGGCCCACCAAGUCGACGAUCCGUAGCUGGUCUGAGAGGAUGAUCAGCCACACUGGAACUGAGACACGGUCCAGACUCCUACGGGAGGCAGCAGUGGGGAAUAUUGGACAAUGGGCGCAAGCCUGAUCCAGCCAUACCGCGUGGGUGAAGAAGGCCUUCGGGUUGUAAAGCCCUUUUGUUGGGAAAGAAAAGCAGCAGGUUAAUACCCCGCUGUUCUGACGGUACCCAAAGAAUAAGCACCGGCUAACUUCGUG
rnacentral:rRNA from 1 species